rnacentral:rRNA from 1 species
GACGAACGCUGGCGGCGUGCUUAACACAUGCAAGUCGAACGGAAAGGCCCUGCUUUUGUGGGGUGCUCGAGUGGCGAACGGGUGAGUAACACGUGAGUAACCUGCCCUUGACUUUGGGAUAACUUCAGGAAACUGGGGCUAAUACCGGAUAGGAGCUCCUGCUGCAUGGUGGGGGUUGGAAAGUUUCGGCGGUUGGGGAUGGACUCGCGGCUUAUCAGCUUGUUGGUGGGGUAGUGGCUUACCAAGGCUUUGACGGGUAGCCGGCCUGAGAGGGUGACCGGCACACAUUGGGACUGAGAUACGGCCCAGACUCCUACGGGAGGCAGCAGUGGGGAAUAUUGCACAAUGGGCGGAAGCCUGAUGCAGCAACGCCGCGUGCGGGAUGACGGCCUUCGGGUUGUAAACCGCUUUCGCCUGUGACGAAGCGUGAGUGACGGUAAUGGGUAAAGAAGCACCGGCUAACUACGUG